GACGAACCGUGCGAACGUUGUUCGGAAUCACUGGGCUUAAAGGGCGCGUAGGCGGCUUGCCAAGUCAGGGGUGAAAUACUUCAGCUUAACUGGAGAAGUGCCUUUGAUACUGGCGGGCUUGAGGGAGGUAGGGGUCUUUGGAACUUCUGGUGGAGCGGUGAAAUGCGUUGAUAUCAGAAGGAACGCCGGUGGCGAAAGCGAAAGGACUGGACCUCUUCUGACGCUGAGGCGCGAAAGCUAGGGGAGCAAACGG
rnacentral:rRNA from 1 species